rnacentral:rRNA from 1 species
UACGGAGGAUGCGAGCGUUAUCCGGAUUUAUUGGGUUUAAAGGGUGCGUAGGCGGACUGUCAAGUCAGCGGUAAAAUUGAGAGGCUCAACCUCUUCCCGCCGUUGAAACUGGUGGUCUUGAGUGGAUGAGAAGUACGCGGAAUGCGUGGUGUAGCGGUGAAAUGCAUAGAUAUCACGCAGAACUCCGAUUGCGAAGGCAGCGUACCGGCAUCCAACUGACGUUGAGGCUCGAAAGCGUGGGGAGCAAACAGG